GUGCAGGUUAGGGACUAGCUCGAAUAACUGCGUCUCGCAUGAGCGGCCCUGCUGGAACCCGUGUUGGUUAAUGAAAAGAAGAUUGUGCUCUGUUAGGUAUUUCAUAAUUGCUGAUAAAAUAAUGUGU
rnacentral:lncRNA from 1 species